rnacentral:rRNA from 1 species
AUUGAACGCUGGCGGCAUGCCUUACACAUGCAAGUCGGACGAGUGGCGGACGGGUGAGUAACGCAUCGGAACGUACCUAGUAUAGGGGGAUAACUGCUGGAAAGGAUAGCUAAUACCGCAUAUUAUCGGAGCUGCCGAGGUCGGAUUAGCUAGUUGGGGGGGUAAAGGCCCACCAAGGCGACGAUCAGUAGCGGGUCUGAGAGGAUGAACCGCCACACUGGGACUGAGACACGGCCCAGACUCCUACGGGAGGCAGCAGUGGGGAAUUUUGGACAAUGGGCGCAAGCCUGAUCCAGCCAUGCCGCGUGUCUGAAGAAGGCCUUCGGGUUGUAAAGGACUUUUGUCAGGGAAGCGGUACCUGAAGAAUAAGCACCGGCUAACUACGUGCCAGCAGCCGCGGUAAUUC